rnacentral:lncRNA from 1 species
UUUACCCUUCAUAAAGCAACUGAGAGGCAAAAAUCUCCUGUACCUCCCCUUCCACUGUGGGGAAACCCAUGCAGAGCAAACCACAGCGAGCUACCGCCCCUGCUGUGGGUCAGCCCAGGGAAAUCUUUCUGAAAAUGACCUGACCAGAUGUAGUCUAGGGGGUCUGUGGCAUGCUUAAAUCUGUGGUCACAAAUGUGCCCACACAGAACUGCAGUAACAGGUAAGCAUAAAGGGGCAAGCUUUGGUUUGAUCUGGGAAAUGUACAUGCCACACGCACUUGCCAAGGUGAUGUUAAACUACAUUAUUUCUCUGCUAAAACACAGGAGUUAGGACUUCUAAAACACAUGUUUUUUCCCUCUAGGACAGGCACAGCUUCAAGCAAAACAGCCCUUUUCCUCCAAAAGUGUUUCUGAGCUCAGCUGCUGUUCCAAAGAAAAACACAUGAAGCCAGAGAGCAACACACGAAAAAACAAAAACUGAAACUCCCUUUGCUGGGGGAGGAGAAACCAUUUUGCUUCUAAACUUUCCCUGGCUGGGAUUUUUCUUUAGGGAAACUUUGAACUGGGCCGUACUUUCCGUUCUAACUUCAAAUACCUCAUGUGGUUUCAAAGAACAUGCCUGUGAUUUCCAGAGCCCUGGAAGCUACCCUGAGCUUCUCUCCACUGGAGUUUGGUGGAAGUCAUGGGACUGGCAUGGAUGUGGGAGAGAGGAGGCAAUGACUGCCUGUCAGGCUUCUCUGUGACAAAUAGAUCCACAUCUGUGAUCUUUGCAGGGCCCUCAGAAACUGCAGGGCUGUAUAAGUGGAAGUUUAUCGUUAAACAUGUUGUUCUGUGGGCCUAAUGAGAUCUGCUUUCCUACAGAUGUGCCCUAUUGCCUCUUCCUCCCCUUCCCUCUCCGUAUCACUCCCUACACCAACGGGAAGCCCUGGACCUCGCUGAGCAAGGAGCACCAUCUGCUCUGUGUGCCAGAUGGUGCCUGUGUUGCUGGGACUAGGGACAUCUUGGACCACGGUUUGCAGAUGUGGGUGGACUCUCCACUGCUUACCUUCCAGAUGGGAUCAUCCUGGCAGCCUGCCCCAGGAGGUAAGGAGCAGAUUUCCACCUGCUGUCUCUAGUGAAUCUUGCAAGAGCUGUCCCCACACAAUCCCAGCCUUGCAGAGCUCCUUCUUGGACUUUGCAUGUCCUUGCCACUCCUGGCCAUGCACUGUUUUAGCAGAGAUCUAACAUUCAACUGGUUUGUCCCCAAAUCAUGCUGUAGGAAUACCUACUCCUGCUGGUACUCCUCUCUCUUUUCCUUUCCCUGUAUGUCCUGACUGGACAUACAUGCUAUGGGACUUCUUACGUCAGAAGAAAAUGAAGGAUACUAGUGGGGCACUCCUAGCUGAUCCCAUGGCCCCCCAGGAGCAUAGAUCAGGAAAUCCUCCUGGGAGCAAGGGCAUGGGUAUUUCACAGGGGGCCCUGAUCACUGGGUGGCAAACAGGGACCUGACCAUGUGCACAGACCACUUGUGCAGGCCCUCUCCUGCUGCCUCCAGAACCCCUUGUUGUGUUUUCUUGGUUUUUGUGUGUGUGUGUUUUUCUUUUUUUUUCUUUAUAUCUUCCCCCUCUGAGGUCCCACUGAGUCAUGGGACUUCCUGAUAACUUCCCCCACCACCUUUGGCAGCAGAAAGAGGAAGCCUGGUGGCAGGGAUCCUGGUGACUUCAGGCCUAUAUCCAUUCCAUUUUUCUCUCAGGUCUCCCAGCACAUCACCACUGAGCACUGGCUGCUCAGAUGCCUUCAGGGUGGCGUGCCUUGCAUACCCCUCUGGCUUCCCAUCUGUACAUUUCUGACCCUUUGACCUUGAUCUUCCUCUCUUCUCCUCGUUGUUGUCCUCAUUCGGCUUUCUCAGGGUCUUUCAAAGAACAUAAGAUCAGUGCAAGCAUAUACUGGCACGUUAACAUAACACUGGCCUAGCAUGAACAGUUUUAAAGCAUCUCACCCCUACUAUGCAUAACAACUUUGUGACUUCACCCAGUUGUCUUCUCACCAUAUACCUCCUUUUCCGGCUCAUUUAUAAACAGGUUCAACAGUAGGAGACCAGGAACAAAACCCUAUGGAACAUCACUGGAGACCUCCCUCAGAUGCGAAAACUGACCAUUUAUCCUCCUCUUUUAAUAGGUUAUUCACAUGAAGACUUUUCCUUGUGUCCCAUGGUGUCUUAAUUUCUUUCAGAGCCAUCAGUGAUGGACCUUUAAGUCUUUGGAAAUUUUUGCUGCGAUUCUCAAUGGCUGACCUUGUUGUGGUUUUCAUUUAACUUGCCAGAGUUUAUGAUCCUCUCUAUUUUCCAUUCUUGGACACAGUUCGUAUUUUCUGAAGAGAGUCUUCUGCUUCUAAUAAAUUCCUUUAUCCUGCUGUUAGCCA